UACACUCCUACGGGAGGCAGCAGUGGGGAAUUUUGGACAAUGGGCGAAAGCCUGAUCCAGCAAUGCCGCGUGAGUGAAGAAGGCCUUCGGGUUGUAAAGCUCUUUUGUCAGGGAAGAAACGGUGAAAGCUAAUAUCUUUUGCUAAUGACGGUACCUGAAGAAUAAGCACCGGCUAACUACGUGCCAGCAGCCGCGGUAAUACGUAGGGUGCAAGCGUUAAUCGGAAUUACUGGGCGUAAAGCGUGCGCAGGCGGUUUUGUAAGUCUGAUGUGAAAUCCCCGGGCUCAACCUGGGAAUUGCAUUGGAGACUGCAAGGCUAGAAUCUGGCAGAGGGGGGUAGAAUUCCACGUGUAGCAGUGAAAUGCGUAGAUAUGUGGAGGAACACCGAUGGCGAAGGCAGCCCCCUGGGUCAAGAUUGACGCUCAUGCACGAAAGCGUGGGGAGCAAACAGGAUUAGAAACCCUGGUAGUCCCAUGAU
rnacentral:rRNA from 1 species